CCCAUUUCCUCCCAACCACCAAACCCUAACCCCCAAACGCGGCGGCGGCGGCGUCGCGGCGGGCUUCCUCGCCGGCGCGCGCGUGCGUGUAUCCAUGCGCGCCGCCCCGUCGAGCUUGCCCGCCCGCGUCGCGCGACCACCAUCCGCAGCCACCACGAGAUGGCGGCCCAAAUUCCUGCCUCCGGUGGCCGCCAGAUCCGGGGACGCCUCCACCUCCACGACGCCCGCGUCCCCGACACGUCCAGCAAUGAGCGGCUCCGGCGCCGCCGAGGCCUCCAAGGUCGUCGCCGUCCGCAGAAUCAGUCCAUCUGCUCGACCUGCCACUCCACGCAACACCACUACGGGGACGCCGAGACCUGAUGAUAUCUGGCGCCAAGAUGGCGACUAGUCUUGGUACCAAGGGGCUUGCAGUAACAUUUGAUUCUUCUUCCUCUAGUUCUGAUGUUCCAAGUCAGGUACAAUAAAGCUUCGAGGUUGACAUAAAGGAGCUCAUAGCUUCCGCGGCUCCCUGUUUCGCCGACCUGCGCCUCCACAUGGACUAUUACGUUCCUUUCCCAUGGCUUCCUCACGUGGACUCAUACUUUUCUUCCUGUUGAUCCUUGCCACUGUCAGCAGCCUCAAACUGUGGUCGCAUUCCAUUGGGUGUAGCCGGAUGCUGUUAGAUUUGCUGACAAAAGACUACUGGACCAAGGGUGAUACGGACUCUGGGUAUGGUGCGAAGGCACAUGAUAAAAUUGGUCAAGUUAGAGGAAGGGGCUUUAGACAUGAGAAUACCAAGAUGAAGUGUGUUGGUGGUGGCUGUCCACUGGAGCUGCUGCCGGUGUCCACUAAGGCCUGCUGCCAUUGCCUUCUUUGACUGUGACUUCUCCUACCGUGAUGGCCUUCUUCAACUCCAUGUGUUUAGGCGGAUGAUGCGGACUCUGGGUACGGCGGGAAGGCACAUGAGAUAAGUGGCCAAGUUAGAGGAAGGGUCUUUAGACAUGAGAAGACCAAGAUGAAGCGUGUUGGUGGUGCUGUCCACUUGG